rnacentral:rRNA from 1 species
UACAGAGGGGGCAAGCGUUGUUCGGAAUUACUGGGCGUAAAGGGCGCGUAGGCGGCCUUCUAAGUCGAACGUGAAAUCCCCGGGCUCAACCCGGGAACUGCGUCCGAUACUGGAAGGCUUGAAUCCGGGAGAGGGAUGCGGAAUUCCAGGUGUAGCGGUGAAAUGCGUAGAUACCUGGAGGAACACCGGUGGCGAAGGCGGCAUUCUGGACCGGCAUUGACGCUGAGGAGCGAAAGCCAGGGGAGCAAACGGG